CCUACGGGAGGCUGCAGUGGGGAAUAUUGGACAAUGGGCGAAAGCCUGAUCCAGCCAUGCCGCGUGUGUGAAGAAGGCCUUCGGGUUGUAAAGCACUUUCAGUGGGGAAGAAAGCCUUGGGGCUAAUACCCUCGAGGAAGGACAUCACCCACAGAAGAAGCACCGGCUAACUCCGUGCCAGCAGCCGCGGUAAUACGGAGGGUGCGAGCGUUAAUCGGAAUUACUGGGCGUAAAGCGCGCGUAGGCGGUCUGAUAAGCCGGUUGUGAAAGCCCCGGGCUCAACCUGGGAACGGCAUCCGGAACUGUCAGGCUAGAGUGCAGGAGAGGAAGGUAGAAUUCCCGGUGUAGCGGUGAAAUGCGUAGAGAUCGGGAGGAAUACCAGUGGCGAGGGCGGCCUUCUGGACUGACACUGACGCUGAGGUGCGAAAGCGUGGGUAGCAAACAGGAUUAGAUACCCUAGUAGUC
rnacentral:rRNA from 1 species